rnacentral:rRNA from 1 species
UAACGCACUCCUACGGGAGGCAGCAGUGGGGAAUAUUGCACAAUGGGCGCAAGCCUGAUGCAGCCAUGCCGCGUGUAUGAAGAAGGCCUUCGGGUUGUAAAGUACUUUCAGCAGUGAGGAAGGUGGAUAUGUUAAUAGCAUAUUCAUUUGACGUUAGCUGCAGAAGAAGCACCGGCUAACUCCGUGCCAGCAGCCGCGGUAAUACGGAGGGUGCGAGCGUUAAUCGGAAUUACUGGGCGUAAAGCGCAUGCAGGUGGUUUGUUAAGUCAGAUGUGAAAGCCCGGGGCUCAACCUCGGAAUUGCAUUUGAAACUGGCAAACUAGAGUACUGUAGAGGGGGUAGAAUUUCAGGUGUAGCGGUGAAAUGCGUAGAGAUCUGAAGGAAUACCGGUGGCGAAGGCGGCCCCCUGGACAGAUACUGACACUCAGAUGCGAAAGCGUGGGGAGCAAACAGGAUUAGAUACCCUGGGAG